CAAUAGCGUAUAUUUAAGUUGCUGCAGUUAAAAAGCUCGUAGUUGGAUUUCGGGUGGGAAUGGCCGGUCCGCCGUUUCGGUGUGCACUUGCUACGCCCAUCUUGCUGCCGGGGACGUGCUCUUGAGUUCACGCUCGGGACACGGAGUCGGCGAGGUUACUUUGAGUAAAUUAGAGUGUUCAAAGCAGGCCUACGCUCUGAAUACAUUAGCAUGGAAUAACACGAUAGGACUCUGGCCUAUCUUGUUGGUCUGUAGGACCGGAGUAAUGAUUAAGAGGGACAGUCGGGGGCAUUCGUAUUUCAUUGUCAGAGGUGAAAUUCUUGGAUUUAUGAAAGACGAACUACUGCGAAAGCAUUUGCCAAGGAUGUUUUCAUUAA
rnacentral:rRNA from 1 species